AGGAGAGUGCCCUGCGUGCCACGAAAGA
rnacentral:piRNA from 1 species